ACAAACAAUCACGGAAGCUUGAUAUUGGAAAGACCAAUCAAAAGUUCCAAUAAUUUCAACAAAUGCGAUAUCAACAAAUACACACCUGAGCGCGUCUUCUUGAUCCAACCGUGCCAGGAUAUACUGUUGGAUGUCUCUCACCACCAAGGACUUCCUUAGAUCGUCUAAAGGGAUCUUCCGGAAGCCGCUGAACAUCCGUGAGAUGGGUUUGCUCUGACGUCGAGCAGUACAAACCAGAAGCAACCAUUGAGGGAAUAGGUGAUGAUGAUUAGCCAAUAAUUCAGCGAUCGUCCUACUGACGUUAUCAUUCUCCCUUCUCGAGUCUCUGGUGCCAGUUUGAGGAAGAUCCAGAGUCUGUCCCUCGUCGAUCGAGUCGACUAACAGGAACAGACAACAUUUUGGUGGCUCUAAUUCUAAUAGAGGGAACAGCAGUGCUUUCUUUAAAGCGUCGUCGGGAUCUCUGUCGAGGACAUCCGGUUGCAAAGCGGCUUGUAUCUCUGGAUCAGUUCGAAGUUUCUCCGCGUAGGCUUCUGCUACCAUUUCCCUCGAUGUCAAUGGCACUGUCGUGGCGUUGCUGGUUGUCGUCGCGCUGCCUGGUAUCGGUUGCAGAAGCUGAGCAACCAGAGACCUCACAAAUUGAGCUGGUGACAACGAAGCCUCGCUUCUAGCCUGACAAAAGUGCCUGGCCAACAAUCUCCUGUUUAAGGAUCUCUGAUGUCUAGCAUUGGCACCAGCCGAUGGCCAGGCUAAUUCUGCACUGAACGCGGUCUUUCCACUUCCUGGGCCACCAACGACCAAAACGCCACACGUCUUCGAAGCUGGCCUCUGUUCCAAGCAGUGGGACAGUUUGGUGAACGCCCAUUCGCGGCAGAAGAACCGCUUCUUCUCUAUCACUGGUGCAGCCAUUCUCUUGCAAUAAUUCUUCCCGUUUAUAGUUAGUCGAACGAUCGGUAAUUAAUCUUUCGUUGCACGGUGUUCUUUCAAUGGACCUUCUCCGCGAGGUCUACGUUUCUACUAAACACAAUUCUGUCGAUUUGAAGCAACUUGUGCGUCUAGAUAGGAAACAAAGAGAGGCCGUGUCAGCGAUGAAGUAUGUCUUUAGAAUUGCCUAGGCUAAUUGCGUUGGUUUAUAUCUCGUGUUCAGGUAUAUAAAUUCUUCAGGAUACUUCUUUAAACAGCGAACCGAACAGAGUAUUACAGUUUUUCUCGUGUUUCGUUGGUUGACGAUGGUAUUUAUUUAUUUGUUGUGUCCUUAAUCGUGGUUCUUGAUGCAGAUUGCAAGAGUAAUUGAAACAGGUGACAGUUUAG
rnacentral:misc_RNA from 1 species